GGCUGAGUGGUUUGAGCACUGAACUAAGGCUCUGGAGACCAGGGUUCGAAUCCCGGCUCAGCCA